AAAUGGAGGUGUUUUUAUUGGUAUUCUUGUUUACUAAAAUUUCUGUGACUUCCUCUUUGUCUCAGCUUCCAGUAAACUUUUAAAGGUUAGUGCUACUGUCUUACAUCAUAGCAACGUAUUUGUCUCUUAUGGUUAAAAACUUGCAGGUUUUUCACCUCACAUUUCAGAUGAGAGCAAAAGUGUCAGCCCACCUCAAGGAACCUAGUUGGGAAAAGCUGCAAAGGUGACCAUCCAGAGGACUUGGUCCCCCAUUCUUUGAAACUGUCUCAAGGGCCUGGGACAGCCUGAGACAGCAAGUCCGUGGGCUCGCCCAUUUUGGCCCUAUCUCUGCUUCAUCCGCAUUAACACCCUUGGCUACUAGGAGUAGAUGAGGAAACCGCAGCUGCAAGAGGCCCCCCCACAGUUUGUCAUGGUUGCGUAACCGCCUUUCUUCGUGGUGCCAAAGAGCUGAAUGGACCCUCACAGGCUGAAGCAGCAGAGAGCACCAGCCCCACGGUGCCCCUUCAGGUGUCUUACAGAACUGCGCUGGAUUCCCAGGCUGCUCCGUGUUCCCCGUCAACCUAGCUUCCUCAUUAACACCUCUAUUGCUGGUGUCAGUAGUCUUAAUGGGUAGAAUGUUCUAUUUCCUCCCAUCACCCCCAUCAUUUCUCUACCAUCCUACCCCUAAACCAUUGAUUUGAAGCUGUUAUGAGUUCCUGUAUUUAAAGCAAAUAAGAUAUUUUCCUACAAUAUGAUAUAAGGAUGUUCUUUGAGACUUUCUAUCAACCUGAGAACUGUUUAUGCUUGCAAAGUUUACAGACUUUAGACCUGUAAGAAUGUGUCCUCAGAUGCUAUUAUAAUUUUUAUUUUCAAGAGCAUUGUUGAAGCACCACGUUGACACUGGCAGGUACACAGAGCAGGGAUACUAAUCCUCAUUUUACAACUGAGCCUAAGAAAGGAAGGAAAGUGCUCAAGGGACAGGGCAAACUGGGGCUCAGACUUGGUUUUCUCCAUCCUAUCCAGUCCACUCUGUUGAUGAUGAAAAGCCAGGCUCACUGACCUUGCCACACAGGCACCAGUCAGUCCUGGGCAGAAAGCAAGCAGGACAGCUGAUGCUGUCAUCACAGCUGAGGAAAUGGAGCCUUGGAAGUUAGACUCUCUGCCCACAGGGCUGUGCCACUGAGGAGUCCAUAUCUCAAACCUGCCUCUCCAGACGCCCACUCUUUCCACAGUAUCAGUUGACUUGAUUUCAGCAUUUCCUGUAAAAGCUUCAGGCAGUGCCUUCAUCCUGACAAUAUCAAAUACCUCAUGGUUUAGCAAUGCACUGGAGAAAGUGCUAGUGAGGCAGGGGUGAGGAGAAAGGGAAAGAUGGAAAUGGCUAAGGCCUGCCUCCUCAGCAAGAGUGGGAAGCAACCUUUGUGCUGACAUUCUCUCACGCUUUGUCUGUAAACCCACAACUUCCAGCUUUAUCCCUGGCCUGUGCUCAGGGGGAAGUUGAGGGCAGUUCCAUUUUCCAUUCUAGGUAUUGGUAUAUUUUCUCUGUUAUGCAUGUUUACAUUUAUCAGUUGUUGCAUGUAAAGCUGAGACGUCAUAAUCAACUCAAUUUAGUUUUCCAAAUUAAUCCACCUUGAAUUUGAGGUGUAAUAGCUGAAAGAAGGUAUUAUGAUCAGAAAGUGUCUGGAGUUACCUUCCUGUCCAGUAAAUAAUUAGAACUGUUGGUCAGAGAGCUGGCAGCUUUGGAAUGAAUCUCCCUUACUUAAUUUCUCCUGGAUUCCUGACAUCUGCGCUCUCCCUUCACAUGUUCUGCCUGGCAGUGCUGUCUCUGCAGCACACAGCGUGCCCUCUGCCCCCUGGUAUUUCUCCUCUGCGAUGUUCUCUGCAGCACCCUGGAUCUGCCCAUUUGCUUGAAACAGAGACUGGAAUAAACUUCAAG